rnacentral:misc_RNA from 1 species
GUGAACGCCCUCACGGGCUUAUACUAUUCCAAACCUCUGUGAACCGUGCCCUUCGGGGCUAUUUUACAAACAUGGUGUAAUGAACGUCAUAUAUCAUAACAAUACA